GUUCUCCCCGAAAGCUAUUUAGGUAGCGCCUCGUGAAUUCAUCUCCGGGGGUAGAGCACUGUUUCGGCUAGGGGGCUAUCCCGGCUUACCAACCCGAUGCAAACUGCGAAUACCGGAGAAUGUUAUCACGGGAGACACACGGCGGGUGCUAACGUCCGUCGUGAAGAGGGAAACAACCCAGACCGCCAGCUAAGGUCCCAAAGUCAUGGUUAAGUGGGAAACGAUGUGGGAAGGCCCAGACAGCCAGGAUGUUGGCUUAGAAGCAGCCAUCAUUUAAAGAAAGCGUAAUAGCUCACUGGUCGAGUCGGCCUGCGCGGAAGAUGUAACGGGGCUAAACCAUGCACCGAAGCUGCGGCAGCGACGCUUAUGCGUUGUUGGGUAGGGGAGCGUUCUGUAAGCCUGCGAAGGUGGCCUGUGAGGGUUGCUGGAGGUAUCAGAAGUGCGAAUGCUGACAUAAGUAACGAUAAAGCGGGUGAAAAGCCCGCUCGCCGGAAGACCAAGGGUUCCUGUCCAACGUUAAUCGGGGCAGGGUGAGUCGACCCCUAAGGCGAGGCCGAAAGGCGUAGUCGAUGGGAAACGGGUUAAUAUUCCCGUACUUGGUGUUACUGCGAAGGGGGGACGGAGAAGGCUAUGUUGGCCGGGCGACGGUU
rnacentral:rRNA from 1 species